rnacentral:rRNA from 1 species
GAUGAACGCUGGCGGCGUGCCUAAUACAUGCAAGUCGAGCGAACAGACGAGGAGCUUGCUCCUCUGACGUUAGCGGCGGACGGGUGAGUAACACGUGGAUAACCUACCUAUAAGACUGGGAUAACUCCGGGAAACCGGAGCUAAUACCGGAUAAUAUAUUGAACCGCAUGGUUCAAUAGUGAAAGACGGUUUUGCUGUCACUUAUAGAUGGAUCCGCGCCGCAUUAGCUAGUUGGUAAGGUAACGGCUUACCAAGGCAACGAUGCGUAGCCGACCUGAGAGGGUGAUCGGCCACACUGGAACUGAGACACGGUCCAGACUCCUACGGGAGGCAGCAGUAGGGAAUCUUCCGCAAAGGGCGAAAGCCUGACGGAGCAACGCCGCGUGAGUGAUGAAGGUCUUCGGAUCGUAAAACUCUGUUAUUAGGGAAGAACAAAUGUGUAAGUAACUAUGCACGUCUUGACGGUACCUAAUCAGAAAGCCACGGCUAACUACGUG